rnacentral:snoRNA from 1 species
UUCCAUCGCUAAGUCAAGGCCUCUUCCUGCGACUUCGGUCGUGCACGACUUUGGUUGUGCUUGUUUCAAUGGAAUUCCGUCUGUUACAGCUUUGGUAUAUUAACACUGGCCCGCACCGAAUUUCGUUAUGAACCUAGGUUGACUUGCUUUCGUCUUGAAAGCCUGUCGCAAGGGCCAGCUGUGUUUUGUUUUUGAGUAGAAGUCUGCUUCUGCCUUUUUGGUGGCAUUGUAGCAGAAUUUCUUAGUAACAUCCCACACAUUC